rnacentral:rRNA from 1 species
AGGAUCAUUAAUGAGUUGUGAUGGGGUUUGAUGCUGGCAGCCAAUAAUUUUUGUUGUUGUUGGAUGCAUGUGCUUGCCCUGACAAUCAUAUUCUUAAACACCUGUGCACAUUUUUGAGGGAAUCAAGUUGAUUUGCUGUUUUAUUUUGGUGAUCAUCUUGCAUUCCCUUAAAUUACUAUACACUGUGAAUAAUGCUGAACGUGCUUGUGCUGCAAGGCCAUUAAUAUAAUAUAACUUUUAACAACGGAUCUCUUGGCUCUCGCAUCGAUGAAGAACGCAGCGAAAUGCGAUAAGUAAUGUGAAUUGCAGAAUUCAGUGAAUCAUCGAAUCUUUGAACGCACCUUGCGCUCCCUGGUAUUCUGGGGAGCACGCCUGUUCGAGUGUAGUGAAAUUUCUCAAGCUUUGGAUGGAUUUUUCUGUCCUUAGUUUGGUUGUUGGGCUUUGCCGUGUCCUUCAUUGGAACGGCUGGCCUUAAAAGCAUUAGCUGAUCCUUGUGUGGCACUGGUUCUACUCAGCGUGAUAAUGGUCUGAUCGUUGAGGACAUCUUUCGGGAUGGCCGGUCUUCAUUUGGGUUGCUUCUAAACCUGGUUUUUGCAGAUUGUUUCAAUCUGUAUUCCACUUUUUCAGCUUUGACCUCGAAUCAGGUGGGACUACCCGCUGAACUUAAGCAUAUCAAUAAGCGGAGGAAAAGAAACUAACAAGGAUUCCCCUAGUAACGGCGAGUGAAGAGGGAAGAGCUCAAAUUUAAAAUCUGGCAGCUU